CUACGGGCUGCUCCAGUGAGGAAUAUUGCACAAUGGGGGGAACCCUGAUGCGGCAACGCCGCGUGGAGGAUGACGCAUUUCGGUGUGUAAACUCCUUUUAUAUGUCAAGAAAAUGACGGUAGCAUAUGAAUAAGCACCGGCUAACUCCGUGCCAGCAGCCGCGGUAAUACGGAGGGUGCAAGCGUUACUCGGAAUCACUGGGCGUAAAGGACGCGUAGGCGGGUUGGAAAGUCAGGUGUGAAAUCCUACAGCUUAACUGUAGAACUGCACUUGAAACUUCUAAUCUAGAGUAUGGGAGGGGGAGAUGGAAUUAGUGGCGUAGGGGUAAAAUCCGUAGAUAUCACUAGGAAUACCUAAAGCGAAGGCGAUCUCCUGGAACAUUACUGACGCUAAGGCGUGAAAGCGUGGGGAGCAAACAGGAUUAGAUACCCCCGUAGUC
rnacentral:rRNA from 1 species